CUAAAAAACCAUUUAUAUAGUUUUCCUCUGUUUUUGGCAAUCAAAUAUACAGCUAUCAAAAACAAAAACCAAAAAGAUAAAUCAUUACCAGAGGUGACAAAAACCAAAUCAUCUUAUUAUUCUGGAAAAGAUUAGGAUAUAACUCAUUGAGUUACUGUAGUAUUAGGUUACCCAUCUGCUGCCUCUCUUUCUCAAGUAUUUUCAUGUUAAGGACGAGACCCUGAAGAUUCCCCCUUAUCCUACAGAUAAAAGGAAACGUAAGAAUAUCUUUAAAGUAACAUAAGUACAUAGAGAUCUGAUACAAAAUGCUAUGAAAACAAAUAGAUGGCAAUACAAUACACCAAGAACUCUUUGAGUUUGUUUGUACGUAUCUGUGACUCAGCUAAAUAAAUGUGGGGUAUGUUAAAGAAUAAUAUCGAAAGGAUCAGAACAUGUCCAUAAAAAUACAAGACUACAAUAAAACAUUUUUAAAGCAUCAGCCGUGGAGGCAUGUAACAGAAACCCUUGCUUAUUAGCAAGUUGAAAAGACUUCAAGUGAAAAAAGAUAAAUAUUAAAAUUUAUAUCUAUUCUUGGAGGUCAAAUGUAAACAGCGAGAAUUGUAAUCUAAACAUCUAAAGAUCUUAGGAUUACAUAAUGUUCAUGGAGAAGUAGCACAACACUAAAAACUUAUUGGUUAAAGUCCAAUACAAUGUGGUGGACCAUUGCCAUUGUUUAAAGGGAAUUUAAUGACCUUUGGUAGUCAAAUAAUAGUUCAAAGGUUAUAUAAAGUUUAUUGGAGGAAAUACAAACUAUGAACCGAACCCCUGUGCAUUUGCUGUAUAUUAACCAGAAAUAAGGGCUGAGGAAAGUUGGGUUCCAAAAAAUGUGAUGAAAUUUUAGAUUUUCUUACAAAGAAGUUCCACAAAUUCAUGAAGAAUCCAAACAGAGGAAAUCAUCUUUUAGAAAAGAUUACAAAUAUGAAGAAAGUUUAAACCCCUAUAAAAGCUGAACUGGGCAGUGAUGGUGUUGUAAAUUUUCACAAAUAUGGCAGAGAAAAAACAUUUUUCCAAUGAUAGCAAUGCAGAAAAAAGUGAUGAAACACGGAUCAUAUAAUUUCUAGAAAUAUCAAGAAGCUGAGAUGAAUGAGAAAGUGCACAUGGGAAAAAUGUGGUGGAGAAAUAUCAACUGAAGUGGAGAUCUGGUCAUCAUCUGAUGAGGACUCUGAUAAACAAGCCAAAUUCUUCCUUAGGUCGCUAAUCCGAUAUAAACAAACUCAUCAAAGGAUCAAUUAUUUGAAUUUUCCAAUUUUAAUAUUUCUAUUAAUGAACUUAAAAACCAUCCUGCAAAUGUUGCCUCUAAACAUGUCGAUCAAAUUCAAAAGAAAUGUAGUUAAAUGAGUUAAGGCAAAGACUAAGGUGGUGUUUGUUUGUUGGCAAAAAGUCUUUUUGACCACUUAUGGCAAAAAAAAAAAAAAAAAAUUCAGGAAAAGACUUUGUUUUUCAGAAGAAAAAAAGGUCUUUUUACCAACAAACAAACAAAGAGAUCUUUUUGACCUCUUUUUCCAGAAAACAAAAACACUAAUUUCUUAUUUUGGAAGACGUUUUCUAAGUUAUAAUCAUAAGGUGAUACUUUUUUUCAUCACCACCACUGCUGCCGCCACGUAUUUGACAUAAAAACAAACAUAAAUAAAUAAAACCAAAAGACCUUGAUAACAACUAAAAACCCUGAAUUUAGUGCCCUAAAUGGAGGAAAUAGGGAUCCAUAAGUCCUGACUCUAAUAUUAAAUAGGUAAAGAAAAUCAGACAAAUUCCCAUCAUAUCAGUCCAAACACAUUUUGAUAUUGCCAUUUCCAAGCAUUGAUUGCAAGACUAUGACUCCUUUUAUCUUGUUACAUCCUAAACAAAUCAAAGAUAUAGUAUAUAACAUACUUGGAUGUGUAUGCCCUUUAUUCAUGUGAUGAGAGAAAGGUUUGGGUGUCAAAAAGUAUACCUCGCAUGCACGACCAAGUAUGCCAGCCUUCCCUGGGGAUAAAGCUCUGAACCAA
rnacentral:lncRNA from 1 species